AUUGAACGCUGGCGGCAGGCCUAACACAUGCAAGUCGGGCGGCAGCACAGGUACUUGUACCGGGUGGCGAGCGGCGGACGGGUGAGUAAUGCCUAGGAACCUGCCUGGUAGUGGGGGAUAACGCUCGGAAACGGACGCUAAUACCGCAUACGUCCUACGGGAGAAAGCAGGGGACCUUCGGGCCUUGCGCUAUCAGAUGAGCCUAGGUCGGAUUAGCUAGUUGGUGAGGUAAAGGCUCACCAAGGCGACGAUCCGUAACUGGUCUGAGAGGAUGAUCAGGCACACUGGAACUGAGACACGGUCCAGACUCCGACGGGAGGCAGCAGUGGGGAAUAUUGGACAAUGGGCGAAAGCCUGAUCCAGCCAUGCCGCGUGUGUGAAGAAGGUCUUCGGAUUGUAAAGCACUUUAAGUUGGGAGGAAGGGUCGUUACCUAAUACGUGACGAUUUUGACGUUACCGACAGAAUAAGCACCGGCUAACUCUGUGCCAGCCGCCGCCGUAACAC
rnacentral:rRNA from 1 species